rnacentral:rRNA from 1 species
UCUGGGACAAGCCCUGGAAACGGGGUCUAAUACCGGAUAACACUCCUUCCUGCAUGGGGAGGGGUUGAAAGCUCCGGCGGUGAAGGAUGAGCCCGCGGCCUAUCAGCUUGUUGGUGGGGUGAUGGCCUACCAAGGCGACGACGGGUAGCCGGCCUGAGAGGGCGACCGGCCACACUGGGACUGAGACACGGCCCAGACUCCUACGGGAGGCAGCAGUGGGGAAUAUUGCACAAUGGGCGAAAGCCUGAUGCAGCGACGCCGCGUGAGGGAUGACGGCCUUCGGGUUGUAAACCUCUUUCAGCAGGGAAGAAGCGAAAGUGACGGUACCUGCAGAAGAAGCGCCGGCUAACUACGUGCCAGCAGCCGCGGUAAUACGUAGGGCGCAAGCGUUGUCCGGAAUUAUUGGGCGUAAAGAGCUCGUAGGCGGCUUGUCACGUCGGAUGUGAAAGCCCGGGGCUUAACCCCGGGUCUGCAUUCGAUACGGGCUAGCUAGAGUGUGGUAGGGGAGAUCGGAAUUCCUGGUGUAGCGGUGAAAUGCGCAGAUAUCAGGAGGAACACCGGUGGCGAAGGCGGAUCUCUGGGCCAUUACUGACGCUGAGGAGCGAAAGCGUGGGGAGCGAACAGGAUUAGAUACCCUGGUAGUCCACGCCGUAAACGUUGGGAACUAGGUG